rnacentral:rRNA from 1 species
UACAGAGGGUGCAAGCGUUAAUCGGAGUUACUGGGCGUAAAGGGCGCGUAGGCGGUUUAUUAAGUUUGAUGUGAAAGCCCUGGGCUUAACCUAGGAACUGCAUUGAAUACUGGUAGACUAGAGUACUGUAGAGGGUAGUGGAAUUUCCGGUGUAGCGGUGAAAUGCGUAGAGAUCGGAAGGAACACCAGUGGCGAAGGCGGCUACCUGGACAGUUCCUGACGCUGAGGCACGAAGGCCAGGGGAGCAAACGGG